ACACACAUACAUACAUAUAUUCUCACAUUGCUAAGGCCUGUGCUGCUUCUGGUGAUGCCGUGAGAGUCAGGGAACUUCAUGAUGAUCCCUCAUCGAGAAGUUGUGUCUUCGAAUGGAGUUCGAACGACAUAUUUCACAAACAGAGUAGUGGUUCCUUGAUAAUGGAAGCUACAACGUUGGAGGCUACAGCUCCGGCAACCACCAACACUCCAUACACCGAGAACAGACUUAAGUAUCUUGCUUCACAGAAGACAGAAGGGAAUGAUCCCUAUCCACACAAAUUAUCUGUUCCUAUUACUAUUCUUCAAUAGGGUUAAGCAAUGGAGACCACCUUGAAGAUGUGUCCGUGUCUAUGGCUGGCCGAAUUAUAAACAAAGACUCUUCGGAUGCGAAGGAUAUCUGACUUGGAUGUGGUUGAAUUUUGAUUAUUCCAUUCUACUGUGGAACUAGGUGACACUGUUGGCGUCAUUGGAUUCGAAACGCAUGGUACUGAGAAAAUGUUAGCGUGCAGUAGCAUGCUGUAUUCCUUCAUUUUUUUGGUAGUUUGGGGUGGGGAUCAUUAGAAAUGGAUUGAUAUAGACCAAUGCUAGGCAUUUCCUAUCACUAUUUUGUUGUAUGGUUGGCAUUGAUUUUCCUAAUUACCUCGCAAAAAUAAAGGUAUUGUUAUUCA